UAAAAUGUAGAGAAUCUGCCCUAGAGAUGGGGACAACAGUUGGAAACGACUGCUAAUACCCAAUAGUGCGCGUACUUGAAAUAGUAUUCGUGAAAACUCCGGUGCUCUGGGAUGAGUCUGCAUCUGAUUAGCUAGUUGGGGGUGUAAUGGACCACCAAGGCGACGAUCAGUAGCUGGUUUGAGAGGAUGAUCAGCCACAAUGGGACUGAGACACGGCCCAUACUCCUACGGGAGGCAGCAGUAGGGAAUUUUGCGCAAUGGGCGAAAGCCUGAACCGCAGCAACGCCGCGUGAUUGAAGAAGCCCUUCGGGGUGUAAAGAUCUGUCAAUAGGGACGAAACUUGACGGUACCUAUAGAGGAAGCACCGGCUAACUCCGUGCCAGCCGCGGC
rnacentral:rRNA from 1 species